rnacentral:rRNA from 1 species
GACAGAGGGUGCAAACGUUUGUUCGGAAUUACUGGGCGUAAAGCGCGUGUAGGCUGCUCGGAAAGUCGGAUGUGAAAGCCCUGGGCUCAACCUAGGAAGUGCAUUCGAAACUUCCGAGCUGGAGUGCUGGAGAGGAAGGCGGAAUUCUCGGUGUAGAGGUGAAAUUCGUAGAUAUCGAGAGGAACACCGGUGGCGAAGGCGGCCUUCUGGACAGCUACUGACGCUGAGACGCGAAAGCGUGGGGAGCAAACAGG